CAGCGGGUGAGCAGUAAGCUUUGUGCUUAUUCCUGGCUCCUGGAGAUCUGCCUCCAGGGAAACGCCUUCAGGGUCACAGUGAAAUCUCUGUGGCAGCUAAUAAAGAAACCCGUCUGCCUCUGGAACCCUGACCUGGGGAGGUGCAGGCUGGACUCCUCCUCCUCUCUGUCGCCAGACGAAGCAGAAAGCCAUGAUGCAGAGGUCAAGAAGCUGAGCCAAUCCCAGCGGCAUCUGGAGACUGGAGCCCAGGGAAGCUGCAACAGUGAGCUCAGCCUUAGCCGAGGAGCUGCAUGGCCUAGAGAGGAGCCUGGUGUGACCGCUGGACACGGGCUUACGAUUGCUGCGGCAAGUAAACUUGAGGGCAGGUGGAGCUGCUGGUUAGGUCUCAAAAAGUCUCGACCAAUGUGUCUUAAUGCCCUGGCAGAGGACCAGGGGCCAAAGACACGCAGGGGUACCUGUCCAUAUCCUGAGACCAUCUGCUGCAGCUCAGACCAGAGAAUUAAGGGUUUGGGGUGCAGGAUGGAGACAGCACCUAGAGGAGUUUAGGACACCAGGGC
rnacentral:lncRNA from 1 species